UACGUAGGGCGCAAGCGUUAUCCGGAAUUAUUGGGCGUAAAGAGCUCGUAGGCGGUUUGUCGCGUCUGCCGUGAAAGUCCGGGGCUCAACUCCGGAUCUGCGGUGGGUACGGGCAGACUAGAGUGAUGUAGGGGAGACGAAUUCCUGGUGUAGCGGUGAAAUGCGCAGAUAUCAGGAGGAACACCGAUGGCGAAGGCAGGUCUCUGGGCAUUAACUGACGCUGAGGAGCGAAAGCAUGGGGAGCGAACAGG
rnacentral:rRNA from 1 species